GUAGUCCACGCCCUAAACGAUGGAUACUAGACGUUGGGGAGCCUAAUCUCCUCGGUGUCGUAGCUAACGCAUUAAGUAUCCCGCCUGGGAAGUACGGUCGCAAGAUUAAAACUCAAAGGAAUUGACGGGGGCCCGCACAAGCGGUGGAACAUGUGGUUUAAUUCGAUGCUACGCGAAAAACCUUACCUAGACUUGACAUCCCGCGCUACCCUGGGAAACCAGGGGUUCCCUUCGGGGACGCGGUGACAGGUGCUGCAUGGCUGUCGUCAGCUCGUGUUGUGAGAUGUUGGGUUAAGUCCCGCAACGAGCGCAACCCUCGCCCUUAGUUACCAGCAUUCAGUUGGGCACUCUAAGGGGACCGCUUGGCUAUAAGCCAGA
rnacentral:rRNA from 1 species